rfam:Human gut metagenome DNA, contig sequence: F2-W_005444.
GGUUGUUCCGGUUUGAUCGGGAUACUCAUCAAAAUAAAACGAAACCGAGGAAGUUUCUCUUGUUAAUGGCGGGCCACAUAAAACCCUUAUGGGACUAAGCUGUAUAGCCGGUGGAUUACAAAGACGGAGAGCUCUCAAAUCCUAUUAGCUCGGAGUUUCAUCACAUGAGUGGGGCAAGCCCUUUUC